rnacentral:rRNA from 1 species
AGCGAACGCUGGCGGCAGGCUUAACACAUGCAAGUCGAGCGCCCCGCAAGGGGAGCGGCAGACGGGAGAGUAACACGUGGGAACAUACCUUUUGGUUCGGAACAACUGAGGGAAACUUCAGCUAAUACCGGAUAAGCCCUUACGGGGAAAGAUUUAUCGCCGAAAGAUUGGCCCGCGUCUGAUUAGCUAGUUGGUGAGGUAACGGCUCACCAAGGCGACGAUCAGUAGCUGGUCUGAGAGGAUGAUCAGCCUCACUGGGACUGAGACACGGCCCAGACUCCUACGGGAGGCAGCAGUGGGGAAUAUUGGACAAUGGGGGCAACCCUGAUCCAGCCAUGCCGCGUGAGUGAUGAAGGCCUUAGGGUUGUAAAGCUCUUUUGCCCGGGAAGAUAAUGACGGUACCGGGAGAAUAGCCCCGGCUAACUUCGUG